rnacentral:rRNA from 1 species
GAAGAGAGCUUGCUCUCUGAUUCAGCGGCGGACGGGUGAGUAAUGCCUAGGAAUCUGCCUGGUAGUGGGGGACAACGUUUCGAAAGGAACGCUAAUACCGCAUACGUCCUACGGGAGAAAGCAGGGGACCUUCGGGCCUUGCGCUAUCAGAUGAGCCUAGGUCGGAUUAGCUAGUUGGUGAGGUAAUGGCUCACCAAGGCGACGAUCCGUAACUGGUCUGAGAGGAUGAUCAGUCACACUGGAACUGAGACACGGUCCAGACUCCUACGGGAGGCAGCAGUGGGGAAUAUUGGACAAUGGGCGAAAGCCUGAUCCAGCCAUGCCGCGUGUGUGAAGAAGGUCUUCGGAUUGUAAAGCACUUUAAGUUGGGAGGAAGGGUUGUAGAUUAAUACUCUGCAAUUUUGACGUUACCGACAGAAUAAGCACCGGCUAACUCUGUGCCAGCAGCCGCGGUAAUACAGAGGGUGCAAGCGUUAAUCGGAAUUACUGGGCGUAAAGCGCGCGUAGGUGGUUUGUUAAGUUGGAUGUGAAAGCCCCGGGCUCAACCUGGGAACUGCAUUCAAAACUGACAAGCUAGAGUAUGGUAGAGGGUGGGUGGAAUUUCCUGUGUAGCGGUGAAAUGCGUAGAUAUAGGAAGGAACACCAGUGGGCGAAGGCGACCACCUGGACUGAUACUGACACUGAGGUGCGAAAGCGUGGGGAGCAAACAGGAUUAGAUACCCCUGGUAGUCCACGCCGUAAACGAUGUCAACUAAGCCGUUGGGAGCCUUGAGCUUUUAGGGCAGCUAACGCAUUAAGUUGACCGCCUGGGGAGUACGGCCGCAAGGUUAAAACUCAAAUGAAUUGACGGGGGCCCGCACAAGCGGGGAGCAUGUGGUUUAAUUCGAAGCAACGCGAAGAACCUUACCAGGCCUUGACAUCCAAUGAACUUUCCAGAGAUGGAUUGGUGCCUUCGGGAACAUUGAGACAGGUGCUGCAUGGCUGUCGUCAGCUCGUGUCGUGAGAUGUUGGGUUAAGUCCCGUAACGAGCGCAACCCUUGUCCUUAGUUACCAGCACGUUAUGGUGGGCACUCUAAGGAGACUGCCGGUGACAAACCGGAGGAAGGUGGGGAUGACGUCAAGUCAUCAUGGCCCUUACGGCCUGGGCUACACACGUGCUACAAUGGUCGGUACAGAGGGUUGCCAAGCCGCGAGGUGGAGCUAAUCCCAUAAAACCGAUCGUAGUCCGGAUCGCAGUCUGCAACUCGACUGCGUGAAGUCGGAAUCGCUAGUAAUCGCGAAUCAGAAUGUCGCGGUGAAUACGUUCCCGGGCCUUGUACACACCGCCCGUCACACCAUGGGAGUGGGUUGCACCAGAAGUAGCUAGUCUAACCUUCGGGAGGACGGUUACCACGGUGUGAUUCAUGACUGGGGNAAGUCGUAACA